ensembl:lncRNA
CACCGAUUCUCCUUAUGAACGUUUAAAACAAAAUUUACACUCUGUACUGCUGCAAGUUUCAUCACCUGGUACUGUGAAGUCGCAAGAAGAGAGUUUGAGCCUGAUCCAAAUGCCUGUGGUCCUCCACGCACUCCAGAGACGUAUGACGCAGCUGUUGCUGAACUUCAGGCUAAAAACAUCCCAGACGUCAGAGGAAUAAAGGUAAACUCUGUCUUUAAUACCCUUAAGUCCUACCAUGUAUCACAGCCUGG